ensembl:lncRNA
UGCUGCUGGAGUAAGAGGCCGUGAUUUGGGGUUUAGCUUUUUUCCAUGUGCUUAGGGUAAGUUUAUGCUGCAGUCACUGUUGUGGCUAACAUACAUGUAUCUGAACAAGUAGCAAUUUGGGCAGAAGGACCACAUAAAUAAAUUUUUAUUAGCUGAAUUUCCUGCAGUCUAGACUUCCUCCACCAUGUUGCAGCAUUACACUAUAGCCCCAGUAAUAUUCUAAAGAUCAUUAUAAAAAAUGAUGCCUUAAUUGGAAAGCAUUUUAUGUUAGCUGUUAACCUUAACUCUUGACCUGGAUUACAGAAAAUGCCACUGUGCAGGCUGAGUUCCCCUAAAUAGUAUUAAUUCUAGACAGGAAAACCUUGAUCUUUAUUUAUCUAAUUUAAAAUUCAGUUCUAGCAAGAUUAGGGCCAUGCACAGAGGGACUUUUAACAGGCAUGCAUAAUCUCACCCUUGAGCCACGCUGCACAAGAAAUGGUGGUGAAAGAAAGUUGGCUUUGUGCUUUUUGUUGCCUUGGAAUGGCCCUUCAAUCCCACAACCAGGUGUUUCCUGUGAAGUUCUCAAUAGGCAACUGAGGUACUGUUAUUAGGAAAAUAUUAAAGCAUACAUAUAUACAGUCUGACUGCACUUCAUGCUGCAUUAUGAGUCUUUAUAACGUACAAGCUCUGGAGAUGCUGCAAUACGUCAUCUGGCAAUCUUAUCUCCAUGAGUUGUGUUGUUAGUAAUCUACAAUUCCUUGAAGAGUAUCGUAUCUAUCUCUGUCUUAUCAGAAAAACUCAAAGGCUAUUUCCUUAUCCUCGUUUCACUGUAAAAAGGAAACUCGACCAAGAAAGCAUUAGCACAUCAGCCACAAAUACAUUUUCUUCUAAAACAAAAGUUGAUGUUGAGUCAGUGUAGCAUCACUCAGUUUAACCAAAUCCAAACACCAAGUUGCAAAUGAGAGCAGCAGCUGAACUACUGACCCUUCUUGCUCUUUCAGUGAUACUGCAGGCAAAAGGAGAGAAAAUGAGAAAAAUGCUGAAGUGUUGUGAGGUGGUAAAUGCUCAGUGUGUUUUGUAGAGGCUGUGCCAUUUCUUGGGCCAUAUUCUGAUAAUAUAAAGCAGUUCUAUUAGUCUUCUCCUUUUGAGAAGAGACACCAAAGACACCAAGGUGUGCUGCACGUUGCUUUGUGUUGUGAUCUGUGUCUCACUGUAUUGACUUUUACCAGGAUACUUGUUGUUUAAUCUCUUGCUGUCAUUGCUUCUGUCACACAGUGGGCAGCACUGGACAAGGCUCCGGCAUUUCCUUUGUGAAUAGCACAGUGGCAGCAUGCAUGUAGUGAAGAAGAGAGUGGUCAGUUCCAGUGUCUGCCUUACUAGUGGGUGAUGCAUGUAGUAUAAACCUGUGUACCAUAAUUUCUUCCUUGCUGAAAUUCUUGGAUAUAGGAAGAAAUCAAAUAUUCAGCUUUCUGCUCUGUUUUUUUACAAGCUAUAUGGGUUGAAACAAAUUUACAAGAAAUACAGUCAUACGUAUUAAUACUGGAGGCUGUAUUUCGUGUGUAGUCAUGAAUUAUGCUGUAAAGACUGAGCUCAUUUGUAUUCUUCACAGCUAACUCAUAAAGUGAUUCUGUGAAUUCAUGAUGAGCUAAAAUUCUGACUUCUGUUCCUUAAAUUAAGCUGCCCUUAUAAAAUUACACCUGUUAAGGAAACUCCGUAAUGUUCUUCACUUUACAGCACGGCUGCAAGUUUCUCUAAAGUCAUUAGUUGAGAAAAAAAUCAUCUUCUAGAAUUAAUUUACUCUUCUGAAAUACUCUUGCUGAAAUAUGGGCAUAUGGCAUUUAAAAGCCCUUCUUCCUUCUCCAGAAUUUAGGACUCCAAGUUGGUAAUCAGAGUUUAAGUCAGUGUCCUUUAACUCCUAGAAACCCUUUGUCCCAUACUGACAGAGUACAGGGGGAAAUAAUGUUCUUCUGUGGGUUUGAAGCAUUCUUCUGUGCAAAAUUUUAGAAAUCGAUGCUUAAAAUAGUCUAUAGCAGCAUCAGCAAUUGUUAGGCUUGAAAUUACUGUGAUUUUUUCUUAUUAAGCAGUAAGACAUGAGUAGUUGUUAUUGUCACGCUUACAGCAAGAAACCUCAGAUGUUCACUGAUUACAGAGCUCAAUAAUUGCCAUGCAGCUGAGUGUCGUUUUGCUAGCAGGAAAUGAGUUUCUUUUUCUCCUGAAGUAAAUGAAACAUAAAAUUCUGUGCUUGAAGCCAUGGGGAAGCUGUCAGACAAGCAGGUUGAGCUGUUUGUGUAAGUGUGAAGCCACUUUGUGAAAGUGAACGCAAGACUUGAAUGGCAUGGUGCUGUUGGUGCUCUGGUGUAUUCGGCACUCUUUUGCUGCACAGGUGUUAGAGGUAAACACAAAGUAACCUAAUGAGCACUCUAGACACUGUCCUUGCUAUCCAGCUCAAGUCUUCACUAUUCAGGUAGAGCUAUACGGAGAUUGCCCUGUAAAAGAACAUUGUGCUAACAGGUGUCAUCUAGGAAACUUCACCUUUUAGUCUUAGGGCUGAGUGAAAGAUUCAGAAAGAAACAUGAAAUCAGGGCAUCGUGGACAUCUGGGCAUUUUCCCUCAAAAGUGGUGACUCUCCUUGAUGAAGUUCCUACCCAUUUUCAGGCAUCCUGACUGUAGGCAUCUGAUAGGUUUGGGAAGUUCUGAACUGUUGCUGUCACUCUUUGCUGACUACAGGACAUUGUUCCCCUGGGCACUGCUCUUCCAUUAUCUCUGAGUUUUUGCAGUGAUUUCCUGUGCUUGUGUGCUCUGGUGCUUUGAUCUUUCCUAACGUCUGCAUCAUGAAUUACAAACAUAUGUAACAACUCUGUCUCCUAUCAGCUCCAGCAAAGCUGAUGGUGAUCCAGGCAGAGCUUGCUGGGGUAGAGCUGUCUCUUAGAGGUGGGGAGGGGGGAAAUACUUGUGGGUUUCUUCUGCUGUUCUGGAUUUUUUUGAGCAGCAGCAGAAAUGUGGAAGAUAAAGUUCUGGGCUGAGUCUCAAACAGAAGGUUAUUUCAUAUGGAAAAAUAUUUUUAUAUUACAUUUGUACAAAAUUUUCCCUAUUUUGGUCUCCCAAAAUUUUUAAGGAUAUGCACAUUGCUCAAACUUGAUUUGUUUUGCAGGAUGUUUUAAGAUGUGUUAUGUUUGCUAAUGUAUUGCAAAUGUAAAGCUAAGUUUUGCAUGUCUAAUAAACAUGCACUGUGGCAGUACGUGUUUUGUUUGGCUAACUUGAAGUCAGUGCUUCUUAAUGAAUAUAGAAGGAAACUUGAGUCAUUGUUGUGACCGUCUCUUGAGCAUAAAUGAAUAUGUGGAGUGUGUUUGUUUAAAAAGGGCUUAACUAAGUAAAGACAAGGAAUACAUGUUGAUGACAAAGGUUGAAGUUCAGCUUAGUAUGUGGUGUUCUCAGGAUUCUUUUAAUGUUGUGAUCUUAAAAUAAUUAAGGGUUUUUUUGUUUUUUUUUUUGUCAUUUUUGGCUGUGGACACCCAUGCUGGUAUAAAAUUGGCUUAAGACGUGGUAACAGCAAUCUGAUACUUAGGUCUCUAUGAGAUGAGAGUCUGAGUGUUUGUGUGGGAAUGCAUUUAAAUAUUUCUGCCACAAUUAGUCCUUACAGUGAACAUAAGGAUAGUUUUUGAAGAGGACUGAGAAAAGCUUCAAGCUUCUACAUUUAUGGACUAUUAGAAUUUCUAGGAGCUUUGUUUUACCGUGGUAGCACUGAAGAACAGAUGGUUACAUGUCUAGGGGACCUGCUGGGAGCAUUUUCAGCUUUAGGGGCUGGCUUUAGGCAUCUCCACUUGUGAAUGUGUGUUGAUGUUUUGUUGCAAACUUUUUGCUUCCUUUUGAGCUGUUUUGCAAGUUGGAUUGUUUCAGGUGCAAAGGGAAAUGUAUUUUUCUAGAAGAAUGAAUGUAUCUGGGCUUUGUAUUCUUAAGCAUUUAAUGAACAUGAAAGUCUGUCCUCCUAUGAAAUAUAUUUCAAAAAUGUCUGAAAUGUGCUUCACUAAGAAAAAAUGUCCUGAAUGUGCACUUCUACAUUUAAAUGGAAAGAAGUCCAAACACGAGGUGAAUGGGAUUCCAAAAUGUCUUUUCUACAGGCAAUAAGUAUUAAUUAUUUAAUGUAAGUUAUGUUAGACAUUUGGAUUAAGUGUGAUAAUAUCUUAUGUUAAUUUAAAGAAAAAUGUAUAUAUGUGGGAGGGGGCUGAACUUAGAAAGUAUUGUUGUAUAUCUCUGAAAUCCAGAUUUCUAUAGCUGAGUCUGUAUUUUGCUGGCACUGAUCAUGUCCUGGCUAUUGGAAACCUGGACAAGAGUGAACAAUACACCUUUCUUUGUAAAUGGAACUUGGCAAUAAAGAUGGUGUUACU